rnacentral:rRNA from 1 species
AGAUUGAACGCUGGCGGCAUGCCUUACACAUGCAAGUCGAACGGCAGCACGGGAGCAAUCCUGGUGGCGAGUGGCGAACGGGUGAGUAAUAUAUCGGAACGUGACCCAGUCGUGGGGGAUAACGUAGAGAAAUUUACGCUAAUACCGCAUACGAUCCAAGGAUGAAAGCGGGGG